UACAGAGGCUUCAGAGCAUAGACACUUUCCAAGAACUGGAAUCACUUGGAGUACCAGUAAGCACAAGCCUAUUCUAAUGAAGCGGUUAAGAAUGGUGUCGGAAGCCCAGGAGUGAGGGCCAAAAAAACAAACUGUUGGCAUCCAUUCAAACUGGUACUUUGAA